UACGUAGGGUGCGAGCGUUAAUCGGAAUUACUGGGCGUAAAGCGCACGUAGGCGGAUCAGCAAGUUAGGGGUGAAAUCCCGGGGCUCAACCCCGGAACUGCCUUUAAAACUGUUGGUCUGGAGGUCGAGAGAGGUGAGUGGAACUCCGAGUGUAGAGGUGAAAUUCGUAGAUAUCUGGAGGAACACCGGUGGCGAAGGCGGCAUCCUGGACCGGCAUUGACGCUGAGGCGCGAAAGCUAGGGGAGCAAACGGG
rnacentral:rRNA from 1 species